rnacentral:lncRNA from 1 species
ACCAUGGCUUAAGAUGCCAAAGAUGGCCACGACCGCCACGUAAAUGUUAACUCUGCCAUAGACAUUGAGUCUGAUUCACCCAACUUUGCAUUAGAAGUAUACAAACCAUAUCGGUUUUGAUUAUGGCGAGCAUUUAGCAAAUAGGUCCGUUCACGCAGUUUUCUUUGUUUCUCGAUUGUACUGUGUUAUCGGGGGCAUUCCUCCUACACGUUGUUGAAGCGAAGCAGUCAAGUCAAGAAAACGUGCGUGUCAAAAUGUCAACCCAGGAUUAUCCCAUCACAUUUGUGUAAAGUUAUGUUUCACCUGCUUUCGAUAUUCAAGUUCUUUAUGCUGAUAAAGUGAUAGAACAAUAGUUUUUCCUGUCUUUUUAUAGGGACAACAGCUCAAAUUAAAGUCAAAAACAGUGUAGCCUAUCGCCUGGAAAUAGGAAUAGCAUGAAUUGCAAUCUCCAGUCGACACAUAAGUCAAUAUGUGUUAAAGUUCCACAUCUUUCAACAAAAUCAUCUGUAGCCAAUCCGAGAACAUGAGCAACAAAUUUGUUGAAGUCCCUAUCAAGGAGUUGUACCAAAUCAAAAUCUCACGAAAGAGAUGAAAGAUAAAGGAUUGUAAAGGAUAUGCAUCUUUACACCAUAGGUUUAAAGCAGGAGAUUCAGAAAGAAAUGGUGGCGAAUUUUGUAUAUACGGCCGACGAUGGAGUUGACGCUAGCUGUUUGCAACUCGCCUUUUGCGACGUUUUGGUGGCAGGAGAAGCGGAUUAAGAGCUGGAUCCUGGCGAAUCGUCAUUGAUACUCUAAGCUCUAAGAGAUGUCCCUGAGGGAUCUCAGUAUGUUCAAUAAAUCCCUAGCAAUAUCCGCAGCAACGUCAACCUGCAGAAGGAAAGGACAGUCACACUCGAAGGUCACGGAGAAAAACGUGUCAUGCAGCGGUGUAGAGGUUGGGUGAGGACGGACGUUUUGCAUUAUUAUCAAGCAGGUACAAUAACCGCAAGCUUUAGAGGAGAGGGUGAGCAAAAAAAUCGUACAAAAGGAGAGAGAAAACGCGAAGGAAAAUCAGUCGAGUGAGCAUCUCCGACACGGCAACAACUGCAGCCCACUCACCAUCUGCCUUCUUCACCGCAACCAUGGUUAACUACGGCGUCGCUGUUGGGUGUUGUAUCGUUUAAGGCUGGAUCGACCUCUGGUGUACUGAUGUUUCCUGGGUAUGUCGGAUGCCAAACCACAACGCCGCCGCCUUACUACGCAACAACAACAUACGCAACAACCGGUUUCUACACCACCAAGGCUCAAGAGUGUUACACCACAAUUCAUGAUGCCCCGAGCUGCAACACCGAAUCCCGAAGUAUAACUCUGCGUGUCGAUGUCUACGCUGUGAGUCACUACGCCCUGAAGUAUUACUCUGCCCCGAGUUACUACACCACCAAGGGGACGGAGACACUUGACUACGCAUGCUGCCCCAUCUUACCACAUCCGAGGCUUCUAACUGCUACACCGAGGCUCCCGCUGAUUACUCCACCAAAACGGUUGAAUACUACACCGAAGUGGCUAAGUAUUACUCUGCCCCGAUCUACACAACCACAACUGAGGCGGCCAAGUAUUACGCAGUCCCAACUUGCUACACAGAAGCUGCUCUUUCGUGCUACGUUGAACUGAAACACUACAUUGGUGCUCCAGUCUACUACACCACGAUCUACGCUAGACCUAGCUACAACACCACAGCCCCCAAGUACUACACCGAAAAAGCCGCCUAUUACGCAACCACGUACGCUGCCUGGUAUACUACAUCGGGGAUUUUAAGCAUUCCCCUGCUCCAAACUACUACCAAACUUAAAUGUAUACGUAUUAUUACACCAGCAAUUCUCCCGACUAAGUCACCACUACUUACGCUGCUCCGACCUAUACACCGAAGUUAUGAAGUAUUUCUCUGGAUGUGUAGAAAGAUUGCUGAAAUACAAGAUUGAU